GCUAGUCGCACGAACUCAGAUUCGUGGCAUAUAGCUCAGUAACACGUGGCCAAACUACCCUACAGACCGCAAUAACCUCGGGAAACUGAGGCCAAUAGCGGAUAUUACUCUCACGCUGGAGUGCCGAGAGUAAGAAACGUUCCGGCGCUGUAGGAUGUGGCUGCGGCCGAUUAGGUAGAUGGUGGGGUAACGGCCCACCAUGCCCGUAAUCGGUACAGGUUGUGACAGCAAGAGCCUGGAGACGGUAUCUGAGACAAGAUACCGGGCCCUACGGGGCGCAGCAGGCGCGAAACCUUUACACUGCACGACAGUGCGAUAGGGGGACUCCGAGUGCGAGGGCAUAUAGUCCUCGCUUUUCUGAACCGUAAGGUGGUUCAGGAACAAGUGCUGGGCAAGACCGGUGCCAGCCGCCGCGGUAAUACCGGCAGCACGAGUGAUGGCCGAUAUUAUUGGGCCUAAAGCGUCCGUAGCUUGCUGUGUAAGUCCAUUGGGAAAUCGACGCGCUCAACGCGUCGGCGUCCGGUGGAAACUACACGGCUUGGGGCCGAGAGACUCGACGGGUACGUCCGGGGUAGGAGUGAAAUCCUGUAAUCCUGGACGGACCACCAAUGGGGAAACCACGUCGAGAGACCGGACCCGACAGUGAGGGACGAAAGCCAGGGUCUCGAACCGGAUUAGAUACCAGGGUAGUCCUGGCCGUAAACAAUGCUCGCUAGGUAUGUCACGCGCCAUGAGCACGUGAUGUGC
rnacentral:rRNA from 1 species